rnacentral:rRNA from 1 species
GACGAACGCUGGCGGCGUGCCUAAUACAUGCAAGUCGAACGCAGUGGGGACGGGUGAGUAACACGUGGGUAACCUCCCAUCAGAGGGGAGAACACAUGGAAACAGGUGCUAAACCGAUACUGAUGGAUGGACCCGCGGUGCAUUAGCUAGUUGGUGGGGUAACGGCUCACCAAGGCCACGAUGCUUAGCCGGCCUUAGAGGAUGAUCAGCCACACUGGAACUGAGACACGGCCCAGACUCCUACGGGAGGCAGCAGUAGGGAAUCUUCGGCAAUGGGCGAAAGUCUGACCGAGCAACGCCGCGUGAGUGAAGAAGGUUUUCGGAUCGUAAAUCUCUGUUGUUAGAGAAGCGGUAUCUAACCAGAAAGCAACGGCUAACUACGUGCCAGCCGCCGCGGUAAUUC